CUUGGUGGCCACAGCGGGGAGGCGCCCAGGAUGAGGGGCGAGGGAGAAGGCACACUGGGGAAGGGGAUGACAAGGCAGCCUCAGGGGCCGCUGCUGGCAGGGUCCCUUGGGGUAAGCACAGCUUAGAAGAGCAGUGAUCUUGGCUUGGAAUAAAGCAAACAGAUCUUGACUCCUCCGCCCCUACUAAGCUUUCCAUCCUCCUGGGACGCGGGAGCGGCCCGGGUGCGCUGGGAGGAGAGGAGGGACUCGCCAAACCUUUGGCCCCAGGUGAGCCAAAUGCAGAAACUAGCCCUCACUUAAUGCCACGCCCCUUUCUCCUUCUCCCCAAGCCCGCAGAAAAGCCUCGGGACAACCUCAGCGUCCCUUCUCCCCGCGUCCCAAGCGUCCCUAUCCGCCCCGGACUAUCGCACUGGCGCGGACGCCGCCUUGAUUACCCGCUGUCCACCCUGGUGGGCGCGCAGCCUCCCGGCAACCUCUCGCUCCUCACCCCGGGAGCGGCUGCAACCCGCGGGGUCCGAGGCAGCGUAGACGCCUGGGGGCGCCUCGGCGCGAGGAGGGAGUAAGCUCGCAGCAGGCGAGGGGUGUGGAUCCCGCGGGGAGCUUCCCGGGUCCAGCCUGGCCCGCUGAGAUGGGCUCGGUCUCGUCGGCACUGGCGCGGUCCCGCAACACCGUGGUGCAGUUGGGAUCGGCGCCACCGCAGCCCGAGGCGCCGCCGGCUGCUUCUGCUGCUGGCGGAGACCGAUUCGCGCUGCCCAGGACUCGGAGGCCGGGACCCGGGCGUGGAGCGGCCCCCGCCCCGCCUGCAGCUUGGGAGGCGCCGCCGGCCGCGGGCAGCUGGGAAGGUCGUGCGAAGUUGGCGAGCCCGGAGCUGAGCCCGGAGCUGUCUCCGGUGCUGAAGCAGGAGGAGGCGAUGUCCCAGCUGCACCUGCCCCGGAGCUGCAGCCCGGCAGAGGCAGGUGCCUGGAGAAUAGCAGGUGCAGAGAAGUGGAGCCCCCCAGGGGACACUGCGGAGGGCUCAGGAGAGCAAGGUAAGCCCGCAACUGACUGUGCUUGGAACAUUCUCUGUUUUCCUCUGUGCUUGCCAAGGCAUAAGGCAGCUCAGAAGUGACAAGCACCUGCGGUUCUAACCAUGUGGGAUGAGACACAAGGACCUGGGGGCAGGUACUGAUUCCAGUGCUGGGAGCUAGGACUGGAGCUGAAUUGCCCUAAACCUCUGUCCUGAGCCCUUGGACUUGGAGCAGCAGCAUCUCACAAGAGUUUGCUAAGGGUUUCCGGCUCCCAGGCCUCAGCCAGGAAGGGAACAGUAUCUCCUCCUGCAGGUAUCUUAGCCAUACAGGAAGCCUCACCCAGUCUUUUUGGUGGGAAGCUACCCAAGUGAAUGUGUUCAGCCUCAGCUGCCUUGUGGCCCAUCAAGUCCUGAUGUCUUGGUUUUAUUCCUGUUCAUGCCCUGCUUGUCCUUCAUCUCAAUCCCUUGUGCUGGAAUCAGGGUCCUUAGGUCCUGGUGAGUAGAGACCACAGACUACCCAAGAAGGCUCCCAGUUGGCCUUCGCUUGUUCAAGGUCCUGGAAUUCCCUACCCUUUGUGUUUGUGCUGCCUCUGCGUUAAGCGACAGUCCUAUGUUUGUGGCGUGGAGUCUUUUCAACACAGGCCGGCAGCCCCAGCAGAGCUGGCUAUAAGCACCGCUGUGUGGACAGCAGCUGAUCGGCACACUAAGGGGAAGGGGUAGAGGCAGGAAGAGCGAGCAAGCCUCUGUUUUUCUUUCCUUCUUCUUUUUUUUUUUUUUUUUUUAAGAUUUAUUUAUUUGAAAGGCAGAGUUACAGAGAGAGGUAGAGACAGAGAGAGGUCUUUCAUGCGCUGGUUCACUCCCCAGAUGGCUGCAAUGGCCAGAGCUGCACCUAUCAGGAGCUAGGAGCCAGGAGCUUCUUUUGGGCCUUCCACAUGGGUGCAGGGUCCCAAGGACUUGGGCCAUCUUCCACUGCUUUCCCAGGCCAUAGCAGAGAGCUGGAUCAGAAGAGGAGGAGCUGGGACUAGAAGCAGUACCCAUAUGGGAUGCUGGCACUUCAGACCAGGGCUUUAACCUGCUGUGCCACAGCGCCAGCCCCAGAGCC
ensembl:lncRNA